AUUGAACGCUAGCGGGAUGCUUUACACAUGCAAGUCGAACGAGAGGCGGACGGGUGAGUAAUAAAUCGGAAAGUGCCCAGUAGCGAGGGAUAACUACCCGAAAGAGAGGCUGAUAACGCAUACAAGAGGCGAGGCCGAUAUAGGCUUAGCUAGUGGGUGGGGUAAAGGCUCACCAAGGCAACGAUCCGUAGCUGGUUUGAGAGGACGACCAGCCACAGUGGGACUGAGACACGGCCCAGACUCCUACGUGAGGCAGCAGUGGGGAAUUUUGGACAAUGGGGGAAACCCUGAUCCAGCCAUCCCGCGUGUAUGAGAAGGCCUUCGGGUUGUAAAGUACUUUUGGCAGAGAGGCGGUAUCUGCAGAAUAAGCACCGGCUAACUCCGUGCCAGCAGCCGCGGUAAUAC
rnacentral:rRNA from 1 species